rnacentral:lncRNA from 1 species
GCUUUUUGCUUUGCAUUGUGUCUCUUAGCAGCACCUCCUUCCAGGAGGGGAUAACUGGGAACAGAUUUCUGAAAAUGGAAAAGCUGAAGAAUAAGCUGCUAAUGUAUUGGGUCUGGAUGCUUCCUAGGAGCCCCAGGGAAACUGUCCACAGAACAGAACAGGUCCAGGAGAAGUUGGAUACAUCAUUUUAUGUCCCAGGGAAUUCAAAAUUGUGCAGUGGUGCUGAUGUGGAUUCCUGAGGCUCUGGGACAGGACAACCAAUCACACAGGAGUCUGGAAUUCAUAUAUAUGGACAACAUUGAAAAAUCCCUGAUAAAAUGAGUUUUGUUAUAGCCUGAAGAUGCAGCUUAUCACAGGUAAGUAGAAUAUUGCAUUGAUCUCUGCUGUAGAUAAGGAGACUACCAAAG